GAGCCGGUAAUGAGGAGCAACUUUCGAGUAGCCAUGAGGGUAAUGCGCCUUCCCAUAAUGUUGUGGCGAGAUUUAGGUCAAAGGUCCUGGCAAGCCAGGGUCCUAUGGACGGUUUAGCUACAUUGAUUUUGGUUGGAAGGCGGACCUGUUUGUGUGAAAGACUGUCCUCAGCAAAGCGAACCCCUCUCGAUAGGGGUGACUCAUCCACCCGUGACUAUCUACCUUUGUUGCUUUGGCGGGCCGCCUCUGAGGCGGCGGCUUCGGUCGCCUGCGCCUGCCAGAGGACCCAACACUCUUUUUGUUUAGUGAUGUCUGAGUACUAUAUAAUAGUUAAAACUUUCAACAACGGAUCUCUUGGUUCUGGCAUCGAUGAAGAACGCAGCGAAAUGCGAUAAGUAAUGUGAAUUGCAGAAUUCAGUGAAUCAUCGAAUCUUUGAACGCACAUUGCGCCCCUUGGUAUUCCGAGGGGCAUGCCUGUUCGAGCGUCAUUAUGACCAACUCAAGCUCAGCUUGGUAUUGGGGCUCCGCGGUCUCGCGGCCCCUAAAAUCAGUGGCGGCACCGCCCGGCUCUAAGCGUAGUAACUUUCUCGCUAUGGACCCCGGGUGGCUGCUCGCCAGCAACCUCUAAAUACCCACGGUGACCU
rnacentral:rRNA from 1 species